GUACCUUUCCUUCGGGACAGAGGAGACAGGUGGUGCAUGGUUGUCGUCAGCUCGUGUCGUGAGAUGUUGGGUUAAGUCCCGCAACGAGCGCAACCCUUGAUCUUAGUUGCCAGCAUUUCGGAUGGGCACUCUAAGGUGACUGCCGGUGACAAACCGGAGGAAGGUGGGGAUGACGUCAAAUCAUCAUGCCCCUUAUGACCUGGGCUACACACGUACUACAAUGGCCGGUACAACGGGCCGCGAAGCCGCGAGGUGGAGCUAAUCCUAAAAAGCCGGUCUCAGUUCGGAUUGUAGGCUGCAACUCGCCUACAUGAAGUCGGAAUUGCUAG
rnacentral:rRNA from 1 species